rnacentral:tRNA from 1 species
GCUUCAGUAGUUUAAUAAAAAACGUUGGUCUUGUAAAUCAAAAAUGAAAUUUUUUUUUUCCUAAAGUA